GCACUGCUGAGGAGUCCCACGAUAGGACGAAACGGCCGUUCAGUGC
rfam:Schistosoma haematobium scaffold185_20, whole genome shotgun sequence.